GGGGGUAUAGCUCAGCUGGGAGAGCACCUGCCUUGCAAGCAGGGGGUCAGCGGUUCGAUCCCGCUUAUCUCCACCA
rnacentral:tRNA from 1 species